rnacentral:rRNA from 1 species
AUCAUGGCUCAGGAUGAACGCUAGCUACAGGCUUAACACAUGCAAGUCGAGGGGAAACGAUAGAGAAAGCUUGCUUUUUCUAGGCGUCGACCGGCGCACGGGUGAGUAACGCGUAUCCAACCUGCCCAUCACUUGGGGGAUAACCUUGCGAAAGUAAGACUAAUACCCAAUGACGUCUCUAGAAGACAUCUGAAGGAGAUUAAAGAUUUAUCGGUGAUGGAUGGGGAUGCGUCUGAUUAGCUUGUUGGCGGGUAACGGCCCACCAAGGCGACGAUCAGUAGGGGUUCUGAGAGGAAGGCCCCCCACAUUGGAACUGAGACACGGUCCAAACUCCUACGGGAGGCAGCAGUGAGGAAUAUUGGUCAAUGGACGAGAGUCUGAACCAGCCAAGUAGCGUGCAGGAUGACGGCCCUAUGGGUUGUAAACUGCUUUUAUAAGGGAAUAAAGUGAGUCUCGUGAGACUUUUUGCAUGUACCUUAUGAAUAAGGACCGGCUAAUUCCGUG